rnacentral:lncRNA from 1 species
AGAAGAGCCUUGGGAGAUCUCAUUUUCUUUAGCUUUCUAAACCUUUAUUUUCUUGGCCCAAUAAACCUAUCUGGCUAUCAAUGAAGUCUGGCUCAAUUUAAUUAACUAUCCCUAGCAUAAGUACAGUCUAAAAAGAAAGGCCUGCAGGGGAGGACUCCCCCUCCUCUACCUUCUUCUCCUUCCUUUCCCUACCUUUCCCCUCCUACCCUUUCUCCUCCAUUUUUCUCUACACAUUAUUUGGUGACCUGAACCUACAACCAGCUCAACCUGCUUGCUGCUCUGCCUCACAAGUCUUUAGGUUACACUCUGGAUUUCAUUUACCAACCCCAGCUCUUCAUCUUGAAGUGUUACUCCAGUACUGAAAUAUAUAUACAUUGGAAUUGACUGAAAUUCAUACAGGUAAGUAAAAAAAAUCAUCUAUAACACAAUUUAGCAGUAAUAACAGACAUCAUAUUUAUCCAUGGC